UCUUGAUGCGAUCCACUGUAGACUGGUA
rnacentral:sRNA from 1 species